rnacentral:rRNA from 1 species
UUUGGCGACCAUAGCACUUUGGACCCACCUGAUUCCAUCCCGAACUCAGAAGUGAAACGAAGUAGCGCCGAUGGUAGUGUGGGGUUUCCCC